rnacentral:rRNA from 1 species
CCUACGGGGCGCAGCAGUUGGGAAUAUUGGACAAUGGAGGAAACUCUGAUCCAGUGACGCCGCGUGAAGGAAGAAGGUCUUCGGACUGUAAACUUAUUUUAUCAGGGAAGAAAAAAAUGACUGUACCUGAAGAAGAAGCACCGGCUAACUACGUGCCAGCAGCCGCGGUAAUACGUAGGGUGCAAGCGUUAUCCGGAUUUACUGGGUGUAAAGGGCGAGUAGACGGCGUUGCAAGUCAGAUGUGAAAGGCUAGGGCUCAACCGCGGAACUGCUUUGGAAACUGUUAAGCUGGAGUACUGGAGAGG